GAUGAACGCUAGCUACAGGCUUAACACAUGCAAGUCGAGGGGAAACGACAUCGAAAGCUUGCUUUUGAUGGGCGUCGACCGGCGCACGGGUGAGUAACGCGUAUCCAACCUGCCCACCACUUGGGGAUAACCUUGCGAAAGUAAGACUAAUACCCAAUGAUAUCUCUAGAAGACAUCUGAAAGAGAUUAAAGAUUUAUCGGUGAUGGAUGGGGAUGCGUCGGAUUGGCUUGUUGGAGGGGUACCGGCCCACCAAGGCGACGAUCAGUAGGGGGACUGAGAGGAAGGUCACCCACAUUGGAACUGAGACACGGUCCAAACUCCUACGGGAGGCAGCAGUGAGGAAUAUUGGUCAAUGGGCGAGAGCCUGAACCAGCCAAGUAGCGUGCAGGAUGACGGCCCUAUGGGUUGUAAACUGCUUUUAUAAGGGAAUAAGGUGAGUCUCGUGAGACUUUUUGCAUGUACCUUAUGAAUAAGGACCGGCUAAUUCCGUGCCAGCCGCCGCAGUAA
rnacentral:rRNA from 1 species